rnacentral:rRNA from 1 species
AUGCACGCUCUGCCUCUACUCCUACUAAAUUUGGUUCAUCUGUUUUUGCGCAUCUCAGCUCGUGAAUUCCUCUUGCCGGGCUCCUCUCUCUCCAUAGAGGAUAGCUCCCAUAUGCUCCGUUCACCAGAUGGCACUUUCACCUGUGGCUUCAAAAACAUUUCCCGAAAUGCCUCCGUCUUCUCUAUUUGGUUCUCCAAUACAGUUGACAAGACUGUCGUCUGGAGCGCAAAUCAUCUCCAUCCUGUGUACUCCUGGGGAUCCCGAGUCAUGCUAUAUGCGGAUGGCGGAAUGGUUCUAGAGGAUUACAAUGGACAGUCCGUGUGGGAAAACAGUGUCAACUCUUCAUCAACAGCUGUAAAAGCUCAGUUAUUGGACACCGGGAACCUCAUCGUGAAGGGCCAAGGUGAUAUUAUUCUAUGGCAAAGCUUUCAUUCACCUACUGAUACAUUGCUGCCCUAUCAGAACAUUACCAGUGCUACCAAGUUGGUAUCUACUAGUAGGUUACUUAUUCCUGGGCGCUACAGCUUUCAUUUUGAUGAUCAACAUCUACUCACAUUGUUUGAUGAUGAGAAGGAUAUCUCUUUUAUCUACUGGCCAAAUCCUAAUAGUGACAUAUGGACAAAGCAAAGAAACUCGUUUAAUACCACCACAAUUGGGGUUCUUGAUAGUUGGGGGUAUUUCCUUGGAAGUGACAAUUUAAAUUUUAAGGCUAGUGAUUGGGGCAUUAGGAUUAUGAGGAGGCUAACCUUGGAUUAUGAUGGCAACCUUAGAUUAUAUAGUCUAAAUAAGACAGAUGGAACAUGGUUGGUCACAUGGAUGGCACUUCCUCAGACCUGCUCUAUACGUAGUCUAUGUGGUACGAAUGGAAUAUGUGUGUAUACACCUAGGCCUUCUUGUGCAUGUGCCCCUGGACAUGAGAUCAUCGACCCAAAUGAUAGGAGCCAAGGUUGCAGGCCGAAAUUCAAUACUAGUUGUGAUGGGCAGGAGAUGUUUGUGAAGCUACCAAACACUGACUUCCGAGGUAAUGAGCAAAGUAAGAAUACCUCAGUUUCAUUUCAUACUUGCAAGAAGAUAUGCUUGAACGACUGCAAUUGCAAAGGUUUUUUAUACUGGCAAGCAAGUGGAGGUUGCUAUCCAAUCCCUUUUGGGUGGUGA